rnacentral:rRNA from 1 species
ACUCAAAUGAAUUGACGGGGGCCCGCACAAGCGGUGGAGCAUGUGGAUUAAUUCGUCACUAACCGAAGAACCUUACCCAGGCUUGACAUUGAGUGUAAGGCCCUGAAAGGGGUCCCCUCCGCAAGGAGCACGAAAACAGGUGUUGCAUGGCUGUCGUCAGCUCGUGUCGUGAGAUGUUGGGUUAAGUCCCGCAACGAGCGCAACCCUCACCGUAUGUUGCCAGCGUAAAGUCGGGAACUCUUACGGAACUGCCCGUGCAAGCGGGAGGAAGGUGGGGACGACGUCAAGUCGGCAUGGCCCUUACGCCUGGGGCUUCACACAUGCUACAAUGGGCGGCACAGAGGGGUGCGAUCCCGCGAGGGGGAGCGAAUCUCACAAAGCCGUCCUCAGUUCGGAUUGCAGGCUGCAACUCGCCUGCAUGAAGCCGGAAUCGCUAGUAACCGCAGGUCAGCCAAACUGCGGUGAAUACGUUCCCGGGCCUUGUACACACCGCCCGU